rnacentral:rRNA from 1 species
GAUCAUGGCUCAGGACGAACGCUGGCGGCGUGCUUAACACAUGCAAGUCGAACGAGAAUCUGCGGAAAGAGGAUUCGUCCAAUUGAAGCAGAGGACAGUGGCGGACGGGUGAGUAACGCGUGAGGAACCUGCCUUUCAGAGGGGGACAACAGUUGGAAACGACUGCUAAUACCGCAUGACACAUUGGGGUCGCAUGGCCCUGAUGUCAAAGAUUUAUCGUUGAAAGAUGG